rnacentral:rRNA from 1 species
ACUCAAAUGAAUUGACGGGGACCCGCACAAGCGGUGGAGCAUGUGGUUUAAUUCGAGGCAACGCGAAGAACCUUACCAGGCCUUGACAUGGGUAGUAUGGGGUGGAGAAAUUCAUUCCUUCAGUUCGGCUGGCUACCACACAGGUGCUGCAUGGCUGUCGUCAGCUCGUGUCGUGAGAUGUUGGGUUAAGUCCCGCAACGAGCGCAACCCUCAUCCUUAGUUGCCAUCAUUAAGUUGGGCUACUCUAAGGAAACUGCCGGUGGUAAGCCGGAGGAAGGUGGGGAUGACGUCAAGUCUUCAUGGCCCUUACGGCCUGGGCUACACACGUGCUACAAUGGCAAUUACAGAGGGAUGCUAACCCGCGAGGGCAUGCUAACCCCUAAAAAUUGUCCCAGUUCGGAUUGUACUCUGCAACUCGAGUGCAUGAAGUUGGAAUCGCUAGUAAUCGCGGAUCAGCACGCCGCGGUGAAUACGUUCCCGGGUCUUGCACACACCGCCCGU